rnacentral:lncRNA from 1 species
GCGCGUUUUCCUCUGUUCUGUGGCCCGAGGGCUCUGCAGUCGGCUUCCCGGAAUGGCGAAGUCCUGGGGAGGCUUGUCUACAAAUACAGAGGCUGUUUCCCCACAUGCAGGAGUGGCCAUGAGACUGGGCCUGACCAGAGAGAUUCAAGAGGAAGUCUGCUGAUUGAUCUAUUGGAAACAGAAUAAUUUCUACCCGGGAAGUCUACACUUCAACCAUGUUCUCAGGGUCCUUUACAUCCUGGUGUCUCUCUGAGGCAGAGAGACAACUUCAUCACCUGCACAUCUCAAUGGAUUUUGUUGGGAAGAGGAGACCAGGCACAGAAAGCAGAUUCUUGGUUACCGAAGUCUGGGGGGAGGCAAGAAGGAGAAGUAACCACCUACUGGGUAUGGACUUUCCUUUUGGAGUGAUGAAAAUAUUUUGGAACUAGGUGGUGGAGGGGUUUGUACAUAUUGCAAAUGUAUUAAAUGCUACUGAAUUGUUCUCUUUAAAAUGGUUAAUUUUAUAUUAUCUGAACUUCACCUUGAUUUUAAAAAUAAGAGUCCCACUAGCAGAAACAUCAUUCUGCCCUCCUCAGUGUCCCCAGGAAGAGGAGGAAUGGGGAAAGGUGUGGUAGCAGCAGCAUGUAGGUACAUGAGUCACAAACUGAUGAAGACCAAGAAUUCUCCACCCUCUUUCCUUCUCCUCUCUCGUGUUUUACUUAGGAGUAUUCACUGGGAAAUGGACUGGCCUCACAUCAGAACCAAGAGAAAAGGAAAUAAGUCUGUAGUAACUUAGGAAGAGCAGGUCAUAAAAAAAUUUCCAUUAUUAUGAAGGCAGACACAAAACACAUAUGAAUAAAG